UAGCUUAGAUCUGUGGUCCUCCAUAUUUGUUGUUUAUUUUCAACGUGGAUCGUCUGGAAUGCUUUGAGGUGGGAUGUAAUUAACUCCAGGUGGGAUAUAUCCUACCUCCCAGCACUUUGUAAUGUAGCAUUAGUUUCUACCA